AUACGGAGGAUGCGAGCGUUAUCCGGAUUUAUUGGGUUUAAAGGGAGCGUAGGCGGGAGCUUAAGUCAGCGGUUAAAUGGUGCGGCUCAACCGUGCCCUGCCGUUGAAACUGGGUUUCUUGAGAGUGCAAGAGGCGGAUGGAAUUCAUGGGGUAGGGGGGAAAUGCUUAGAUAUCAUGAAGAACUCCGAUUGCGAAGGCAGUCCGCUGGGGCACGUCUGACGCUCAUGCUCGAAGGUGCGGGUAUCAAGCAGGAUUAGAUACCCUGGUAGUCCGCACAGUAAACGAUGGACACCCGCGGUUUGGCCUAUAUGGCUGAGCCGCCAAGCGAAAGCGUUAAGUGUCCCACCUGGGGAGUACGCCGGCAACGGUGAAACUCAAAUGAAUUGGCGGGG
rnacentral:rRNA from 1 species